rnacentral:rRNA from 1 species
AGUGAACGCUGGCGGUAGGCCUAACACAUGCAAGUCGAACGGCAGCACAGUAAGAGCCUGCUCUUACGGGUGGCGAGUGGCGGACGGGUGAGGAAUACAUCGGAAUCUACUUUUUCGUGGGGGAUAACGUAGGGAAACUUACGCUAAUACCGCAUACGACCUACGGGUGAAAGCAGGGGAUCUUCGGACCUUGCGCGAUUGAAUGAGCCGAUGUCGGAUUAGCUAGUUGGCGGGGUAAAGGCCCACCAAGGCGACGAUCCGUAGCUGGUCUGAGAGGAUGAUCAGCCGCACUGGAACUGAGACACGGUCCAGACUCCUACGGGAGGCAGCAGUGGGGAAUAUUGGACAAUGGGCGCAAGCCUGAUCCAGCCAUACCGCGUGGGUGAAGAAGGCCUUCGGGUUGUAAAGCCCUUUUGUUGGGAAAGAAAAGCAGCAGGUUAAUACCCCGCUGUUCUGACGGUACCCAAAGAAUAAGCACCGGCUAACUUCGUG